UAUUAAAGCUGUUGCGGUUAAAAAGCUCGUAGUUGGAUUUGUGGUGUGUCCAGUCGGCCUUUGCUCUUUGAGUGAUAGUGCUGUUACUGGUCUGCCAUGUUUGGGUGGAAUCUGUGUGGCAUUAAGUUGUCGUGCAGGGGAUGCCCAUCGUUUACUGUGAAAAAAUUAGAGUGUUCAAAGCAGGCUUAUGCCUCUGAAUAUAUUAGCAUGGAAUAAUGAUAUAGGACCUUGGUACUAUUUUGUUGGUUUGCGCACUGAGGUAAUGAUUAAGAGGGACAGUUGGGGGUAUUUGUAUUCCAUUGUCAGAGGUGAAAUUCUUG
rnacentral:rRNA from 1 species